rnacentral:ncRNA from 1 species
GACCGAAAAUAUAGUAAACUAUCCCUGGGCAGGACGAGGUCAGAGGAAAAUACGGUAGACCUCCGUAACGGUUUUGCCGUGCAAAUCGGCCCUCGUAGCCAGGCAUAGGGGAGAAAGGCUAAUUGAAACAUGUAGUAGCUGG